rnacentral:rRNA from 1 species
CCUACGGGAGGCAGCAGUAAGGAAUAUUGGACAAUGGACGCAGGUCUGAUCCAGCCAUGCCGCGUGAAGGAUUAAGGCCCUCUGGGUUGUAAACUUCUUUUAUAGGGGACGAAAAAAGGGCUUUCUAGCUCGACUGACGGUACCCUAUGAAUAAGCACCGGCUAACUCCGUGCCAGCAGCCGCGGUAAUACGGAGGGUGCAAGCGUUAUCCGGAUUCACUGGGUUUAAAGGGUGCGUAGGCGGGCAUUUAAGUCAGUGGUGAAAUCUUCGAGCUCAACUCGGAAACUGCCAUUGAUACUAUUUGUCUUGAAUAUUGUGGAGGUGAGCGGAAUAUGUCAUGUAGCGGUGAAAUGCUUAGAUAUGACAUAGAACACCGAUUGCGAAGGCAGCUCGCUACACAAAUAUUGACGCUGAGGCACGAAAGCGUGGGGAUCAAACAGGAUUAGAUACCCUGGUAGUCCACGCCCUAAACUAUGGAUACUCGACAUUUGCGAUACACAGUAAGUGUCUGAGCGAAAGCAUUAAGUAUCCAACCUGGGAAGUUAGACCGCAAGGUUGAAACUUCAAAUUGAAUUGAGG